rnacentral:rRNA from 1 species
UACGGGGGGAGCAAGCGUUGUUCGGAUUUACUGGGCGUAAAGGGCGCGUAGGCGGCCACCGCAAGUCGAUUGUGAAAUCUCCGGGCUUAACCCGGAAAGGUCAACCGAUACUGCGGGGCUAGAGUGCAGAAGGGGCAACUGGAAUUCUCGGUGUAGCGGUGAAAUGCGUAGAUAUCGAGAGGAACACCUGCGGCGAAGGCGGGUUGCUGGGCUGACACUGACGCUGAAGUGCGAAAGCAUGGGGAGCAAACAGG